UGGAAAUCACAGCCCUUGAGUGUGUGUCCCAGUCAGUGCAGCAGAAACCAGGGGGGAAAGGCGAACGCAGCCCCUGGAGCAGGAAGGGAGGCUUUUCCCCAGGACUGGGCGAGGAUUUCAAGGAAGCUUCUGGACAUCCUGCUCCGUCGCCCCAGUGUUCAGACUACCUGUUCAGGACAAUGCCGUUGUACAGUAGUCUGCACAUUGGUUAGACUGGGCAAGGCAGAGCGACGCCACCGACGGCUGGGGACAAAGUGAGCUGUUGCCAAGGAGAAGACAUUUGUUCGCUCCUUUUUUCAAUCUCAUACCCAGUGUUUUUCUUCACAGGUUUUGCACACUAGGGACCAAGAAGCCCUCAGGGACACUGCCGAGAAAAGACUGCCGGAGUGAAGACCAGCGGGGAGAUAUAUAUAAAAAUUUUAGGAAUCAUGGAAUCUAUUCCAGAGGAAACUAACCAGCAGUCAACAUCUUCAACUAAAACUGCCCUUGGAUAUAAUGGUAAAUGUUGCAUGCAUCACUCCUUAAAUUGAGCAGAGGCUGAUUGUAUCUGUCUAUGAGCAAAGGAAACCUGAAGGAACCAAGGGCCUGGCUGGACAGAGUUGUCAUGUGUCUGCCUGUCUACACUUGCUGUGCAGAACAUCCGCUCACCUGUACAGCAGGCACAGACAGGCAGUCACAUGACAACCCAGCCUGAAUGACAACCAGCCAUUGAGAGAGAGCAGCCCUCACACCAUAGCAUCUACACCAAGAGCUACAGCCAAAAUGAGGGGCUUGGGGCCUGGGGGUUUAAUCUGUUGGUUUAAUACUUAACUCGUGUGUAUUCAUAUUAUUAUUUCUAUUUUGAUUCGAAUAUUAAAACCCACCAAAAGUAAAGUGAGUGGUGCCUAUGAAAUAUAAUAAAACCCAUUUCUGAAAAUGUU